GAUGAAGAACGCAGCUAAAUGCGAUAAUUAAUGUGAAUUGCAGAAUUCCGUGAAUCAUCGAGUCUUUGAACGCACAUUGCGCCUCAUGGCAUUCCGUGAGGCAUGCCCAUCUCAGCGUUAGAAAAUAUUCUCAAAUUUUAGUUUUGUGCUAAAAUUUGGAUCAUGUCAAAGAAGCUAUUACUAUUAUUGUGAUCGCUCUUUGGAAAUUGAUAGGUCUUUGAGUUGCUACUCAUAGAACGUGAUGAAUCUUUCUUCGUUCUAUUGUAAUUCACUCUGGUAGUCCUAAAACUUGUAUGCCUGUGGCAUAUCUUGUAAUUUGACCUGAGAUUGGGUAGGGAUACCCGCUGAACUUAAGCAUAUCAAUAAGCGGAGGA
rnacentral:misc_RNA from 1 species